ensembl:rRNA 5S_rRNA 5S ribosomal RNA
GCUUACGGCCAUACCACCCUGAACACGCCCGAUCUCGUGAUCUCGGAAGCUAAGCAGGGUCGGGCCUGGUUAGUACUUGGAUGGGAGACCGCCUGGGAAUACCAGGUGCUGUAAGCU